AGAGUUUGAUCAUGGCUCAGAGCGAACGCUGGCGGCAGGCCUAACACAUGCAAGUCGAGCGCCCCGCAAGGGGAGCGGCAGACGGGAGAGUAACACGUGGGAACGUGCCCUUUGGUUCGGAACAACACAGGGAAACUUGUGCUAAUACCGGAUAAGUCCGUAAGGAGAAAGAUUUAUCGCCAAAGGAUCGGCCCGCGUCUGAUUAGCUUGUUGGUGAGGUAACGGCUCACCAAGGCGACGAUCAGUAGCUGGUCUGAGAGGAUGAUCAGCCUCACUGGGACUGAGACACGGCCCAGACUCCUACGGGAGGCAGCAGUGGGGAAUAUUGGACAAUGGGCGCAAGCCUGAUCCAGCCAUGCCGCGUGGAUGAUGAAGGCCUUAGGGUUGUAAAGUCCUUUCGGCGGGGAAGAUAAUGACGGUACCCGCAGAAGAAGCCCCGGCUAACUUCGUGCCAGCCGCCGCGGUAAUAC
rnacentral:rRNA from 1 species